UUUUAUUUUUAAUUUUUUUAGGAAUAUUUUGAAAAGAAAAGGUUAAAAUCAAAAAUGAAAUUACGGGGAGUUUUAUCCCCUGUCAAAAAUUCUGCUGUCAGUUUAGACCUCCUUAACCUGUGUAUGGUAAAUCAGAUAUCUUGCCAGAAGAAAAGACCUGGGAAAUACUGAGAGCUGCUUCUCUGAUUCUGAAUUUUUUAAUUCUGCUGGAAGGAUGUUGCCUUGCUCUGCUGGUGUCAGGUCUCAGCGCUGGAACAAUUACUUAUAACCAGAGGGGUGUAAUACCAUUAUUGAGUGGCAGAAACUGUGAGAAAACUGAUCCAUGUGAAUAUGAAUAGAGACAUAAAAAUGCCCCUGAGAAAACAUGAUUUAGAACUUCCAAUGUCACCUCAUCUUGUCCCGUCUAACCUCUGCAUUGAUGAUAUGGAAAACAAUUUACACUAUCAAAGACAAGGCAGCAAGGAAGAACUUGGCCCAGUUAAGGUGAGAGUUAAACAAAAAUUUUUUUAAGUUAUUUUAACAAUUGUGACAUGCCACUGUUACCCAACCAGGUUCAUUUUUGCCCACCGCC